rnacentral:tRNA from 1 species
GGAGGGGUGCCGGAGUGGUUGAACGGGACGGUCUUGAAAACCGUUUUCCGAGUUGUUCGGAACGUGGGUUCGAAUCCCACCCCCUCCG